rnacentral:rRNA from 1 species
CGAACGCUGGCGGCGUGCUUAACACAUGCAAGUCGAACGGAAAGGCCCUGCUUGCAGGGUACUCGAGUGGCGAACGGGUGAGUAACACGUGGGUGAUCUGCCCUGCACUUCGGGAUAAGCCUGGGAAACUGGGUCUAAUACCGGGUAGGAGCCAUUUUUAGUGUGAUGGUUGGAAAGUUUUUUCGGUGUAGGAUGAGCUCGCGGCCUAUCAGCUUGUUGGUGGGGUAAUGGCCUACCAAGGCGGCGACGGGUAGCCGGCCUGAGAGGGUGGACGGCCACAUUGGGACUGAGAUACGGCCCAGACUCCUACGGGAGGCAGCAGUGGGGAAUAUUGCACAAUGGGCGCAAGCCUGAUGCAGCGACGCCGCGUGGGGGAUGACGGCCUUCGGGUUGUAAACUCCUUUCGCUAGGGACGAAGCUUUUUGUGACGGUACCUAGAUAAGAAGCACCGGCUAACUACGUG